rnacentral:rRNA from 1 species
CGGCCUUGAAAUACCACCCUUUAAUGUUUGAUGUUCUAACGUGGACCCGUGAUCCGGGUUGCGGACAGUGUCUGGUGGGUAGUUUGACUGGGGCGGUCUCCUCCUAAAGAGUAACGGAGGAGCACGAAGGUUGGCUAAUCCUGGUCGGACAUCAGGAGGUUAGUGCAAUGGCAUAAGCCAGCUUGACUGCGAGCGUGACGGCGCGAGCAGGUGCGAAAGCAGGUCAUAGUGAUCCGGUGGUUCUGAAUGGAAGGGCCAUCGCUCAACGGAUAAAAGGUACUCCGGGGAUAACAGGCUGAUACCGCCCAAGAGUUCAUAUCGACGGCGGUGUUUGGCACCUCGAUGUCGGCUCAUCACAUCCUGGGGCUGAAGUAGGUCCCAAGGGUAUGGCUGUUCGCCAUUUAAAGUGGUACGCGAGCUGGGUUUAGAACGUCGUGAGACAGUUCGGUCCCUAUCUGCCGUGGGCGCUGGAGAACUGAGGGGGGCUGCUCCUAGUACGAGAGGACCGGAGUGGACGCAUCACUGGUGUUCGGGUUGUCAUGCCAAUGGCACUGCCCGGUAGCUAAAUGCGGAAGAGAUAAGUGCUGAAAGCAUCUAAGCACGAAACUUGCCCCGAGAUGAGUUCUCCCUGACCCUUUAAGGGUCCUGAAGGAACGUUGAAGACGACGACGUUGAUAGGCCGGGUGUGUAAGCGCAGCGAUGCGUUGAGCUAACCGGUACUAAUGAACC